rnacentral:lncRNA from 1 species
UUGAAGCGCGGGUUUUCCAUAUGAAAAUUUGAGUACUACAGCUUGAUGAAGACCUUCCUCCCUGGUGAAUGAGUUUACGUCUUCUACUGUAAAUUUAACAGUUGGUAUACCUCUUUCGACAUAUACUGGACAGAGUUCCAGUCUUGAGACCUCUUUGGCAGAAUCAUUCCCUGACGAUACUGCUGCUGCAUAGCUAGGACCAUUUUGAUUUUCCUCUCCCACAGCACAAAGCUGGGGAGAGGGAAGUACAUCCAUUUAACAUAAAACAGAUACUUCAAAACACAAACAUGCUGGGUUGAGAUCGAGAGAGCUCAAUUCAUAUGAACAGUGAAGAUUAGAGAAGCAAAUCGAAAUCUUCACUAACUGGAAGAUUUAACUUACUAGAUGAUCUACAAA